AGGAUAAAUGAGGUUGAUAAUGUGAGGGGGUACCUGCCAUGUGUUGCAUUGUUCCUCGAGGCAGUGGUGGAGCUAUAGCAAGAAAUAGGAAAGCAAUGAACAAUUUUCCAUGGCAAGUGCUUAUCGUCAGGAUCCUUCGUAAUUUGCCCAGGCUAUCUGGCCGACGUGGCUCCCACAUGGAGAAGAAAGAAAGGGGAUGACUCAGCGGCAGGCUAUCAAGCCAGCGUUACAUAAUAAGAAUAAAGUCAAUGUAUAAAUAUACCAUUGAUUGUCGGUGUCGUUUCCACAUAUGUUCGCAAGACAACAAAAGAAGGAUGGAAGAUCGGAGCUAGCAAUGGGAUGAAAGGGGUGAUGAGAGAUCAGAUCUGACCAUGGAACGGAGGAAGAAUGAGAGACCGGAUCAGAUAGCAUGAACAAUGGUAGAAAGAUGCUUGAACAUGACCACAAAUGUGAUGGGGAGAAGGGCGGGCACCUAGAUCCAGCCAUCGAGAGGAUGAAUGCAUCCUCUGUUCUCGAUGGGACCAAAUCUAAAUGCGGGGAUGAUAUGGAGCCCAGAUCUGGCCAUUAGUGACUGAUUGCGAUACUAGAUCUUGAUACAUGGAGGAUAAGGAACACGUUGACGAUGUUUCACCAACGCAACAAGGCAGGAUCGAUACUUUGGAGGAUGGUCGGCAAAAUAGAAGGGAGAUGUGAUAGCUUGUUAGCCAUAAUCCUCAUCGAUAAUCUUUUUCUUGUACUUAAACUAUGCAUUGCCUGUGGUCAAGAAAGGAUAAAUGAGGUUGAUAAUGCGAGGGAGGGUUCCCCGCAAAAAAAAGAUAACGUGAAGGAGGGUACUUUUCAUGUGUUGCAUUGUUCCUCGAGGCAGUGGUGAAGCUAUAGCAAGAAAUAGGAAAGAAGUGAACAAUUUUUCACGGCAAGUGCUUAUCACCGGGAUCCUUCGUAAUUUGCCCAGACUAUCUGGUCGUCGUGGCUCCCACAUGGAGAAGAAAGAAAGGCGAUGGCUCAGCGUCAGGCUAUCAAGCCAAUGUUACAUAAUAAGAAUAAAGUCAAUGUAUAAAUAUACCAUUGAAUGUCGGUGUCGUUUCCACAUAUGUUCGCAGGACAACAAAGGAAGGAUGGAAGAUUGGAGUUGGCAAUGGGAUGAAAGGGAUGAUGAAAGAUCAGAUCUAACCAUGGAACGAAGGAAGAAUGAGAGACCAGAUCACAUAGUGUGAAUAAUGGUAGAAAGAUGCUUGAACAUGACCACAAAAGUGAUGGGGAGAAGGGCGGCCACCUAGAUCUAGCCAUCGAGAGGAUGAAUGCAUCCUCUGUUCUUGAUGGGACCAAAUCUAAAUGUGGGGAUGACAUGGAGACCGGAUCUGGCCAUUAGUGGUUGAUUGCGAACCUAGUUCUAGAUACAUGGAGGAUAAGGAACACGUUGACGGUGUUUCACCAACGCAACAAGGAAGGGUCGAUACUUUGGAGGAUGGUCGGCAAAAUAGAAGGGAGAUGUGAUAGGUUAGCCAUAAUCCUCCUCGAUAAUCUUUUUCUUGCACUGAAACUAUGCAUUGCCUGUGGUCAAGAAAGGAUAAAUGAGGUUGAUAAUGUGAGGGAGGGUUCCCCGCAACAAAAAGAUAAUGUGAAGGAGGGUACUUUUCAUGUGUUGAAU
rnacentral:lncRNA from 1 species